rnacentral:lncRNA from 1 species
CUCUAACUUGGUGAAUAGUUGUGAAAUGUUCAAGAAGAGAUCAGAAUCAAACAACUGUCAACAUACAAGAUAUGAAUUUGUCUUCCUGGAUAUGAUUUUACUUUUUAGCAAAAUGAUAGGUUUGUGCUGAGAGACAGAGAGGCGUUCUAUUGUGAAAUUCAAUUUGCAGGGAUUUAUGUCAGCCUGGUGGAACGGAGAACAAUUAGCGUGGCAGUGCCAGUACUUUUCAAGAGGAUAUAUAAUGACUUUAGCCUAACAGUAUGCAAGGAAGCAUUGCAUUUACACAGAGAGAAAUGGAUAUUAUAUAUUACAUAAGACUACCACAUCACCAUAGUGAUACUAGGUCAGAGCAACAGUCAAUUUUAAAAAAGAAUCAUAUUAAAGGAGUGACAAGAGCAAAAAACCUUAUGGUGAGGUUUUGAUUGAAGGACCAUAACUGCAGACUCUAAUUCAAACUAAUGUGGCU